CCCUUAGAUGUUCUGGGCCGCACGCGCGCUACACUGAUGCAUUCAACGAGUUUCUUCCUGGUCCGAGAGGAAUGGGUAACCUUUUGAAAGUGCAUCGUGAUAGGGAUAGACUAUUGCAAUUAUUGGUCUUCAACGAGGAAUUCCUAGUAGACGUAGUUCAUCAGACUGCAUCGAUUACGUCCCUGCCCUUUGUACACACCGCCCGUCGCUCCUACCGAUUGAAUGCUCAGGUGAGCCAUUCGGACUUUCAUCAUGCUGGUUUCCAGUCUUGAUGAAGGAAAGUCUUGCGAACCUUAUCAUUUAGAGGAAGGAGAAGUCGUAACA
rnacentral:rRNA from 1 species